GAUGAAGAACGUAGCGAAAUGCGAUAAGUAGUGUGAAUUGCAGAAUUCAGUGAAUCAUCGAAUCUUUGAACGCACAUUGCGCCCUUUGGUAUUCCAAAGGGCAUGCCUGUUCGAGCGUCAUUUGUACCCUCAAGCUUUGCUUGGUGUUGGGCGUCUUGUCUCUAGCUUUGCUGGAGACUCGCCUUAAAGUAAUUGGCAGCCGGCCUACUGGUUUCGGAGCGCAGCACAAGUCGCACUCUCUACCAGCAAAGGUCUAGCAUCCAUUAAGCCUUUUUUUCAACUUUUGACCUCGGAUCAGGUAGGGAUACCCGCUGAACUUAAGCAUAUCAAUAAGCGGAGGA
rnacentral:misc_RNA from 1 species